UACAGAGGGUGCGAGCGUUAAUCGGAAUUACUGGGCGUAAAGCGUGCGUAGACGGCUAUCUAAGUCGGGUGUGAAAGCCCCGGGCUCAACCUGGGAAUUGCAUUCGAGACUGAAUAGCUAGGGUGCGGUAGAGGGAAGCGGAAUUUCCGGUGUAGCGGUGAAAUGCGUAGAUAUAGGAAGGAACACCAGUGGCGAAGGCGACCACCUGGACUGAUACUGACACCGAGGUGCGAAAGCGUGGGGAGCAAACAGG
rnacentral:rRNA from 1 species